rnacentral:rRNA from 1 species
CGGCGGACGGGUGAGUAAUGUAUGGGGAUCUGCCUGAUGGCGGGGGGUAACUACUGGAAACGGUAGCUAAUACCGCAUAAUGUCUGCGGACCAAAGCGGGGGACCUCCGGGCCUCGCGCCAUCAGAUGAACCCAUAUGGGAUUAGCUUGUAGGUAAGGUAACGGCUUACCUAGGCGACGAUCCCUAGCUGGUCUGAGAGGGUGAUCGGCCACACUGGGACUGAGACACGGCCCAG